rnacentral:misc_RNA from 1 species
CCGGGUACAGGGGCUCGCGCCCCGCUCCCACACCCUCUGCAAACCCGUCCGACGACCCCAUGGCGUGAGGUCGCGCGGAGGGGGAGCCCCCCUCUCGCAGGGCGGCCUUUCCCCCUCCCCGGCCUGCCAGCCAACACAAACCCUGCCUAGAAACGUGCUUUCUGAGCGACACGAAAAUAGCGAA